rnacentral:rRNA from 1 species
ACACAUGCAAGUCGAGGGCAGCGGGUUGAAAGCUUGCUUUCAAUGCCGGCGACCGGCGCACGGGUGCAUAACGCGUAUCAAACCUGCCUCAUACUCGGGAAUAGCCUUGCGAAAGUAAGAUUAAUACCCGAUGUUGUUGCUUUCUCGCAUGGGAGAGUAACCAAAGAUUUAUCGGUAUGAGAUGGUGAUGCGUCCGAUUAGGUAGUAGGCGGGGUAACGGCCCACCUAGCCUUCGAUCGGUAGGGGUUCUGAGAGGAAGGUCCCCCACACUGGAACUGAGACACGGUCCAGACUCCUACGGGAGGCAGCAGUGAGGAAUAUUGGUCAAUGGGCGAGAGCCUGAACCAGCCAAGUAGCGUGCAGGAUGACGGCCCUCCGGGUUGUAAACUGCUUUUAGUUGGGAAUAAAAAAAGGGACUUGUCCCUUCUUGUAUGUACCUUCAGAAAAAGGACCGGCUAAUUCCGUGCCAGCAGCCGCGGUAAUACGGAAGGUCCAGGCGUUAUCCGGAUUUAUUGGGUUUAAAGGGAGCGUAGGCGGAUUGUUAAGUCAGCGGUUAAAGGGUGUGGCUCAACCAUACAUUGCCGUUGAAACUGGCGAUCUUGAGUGCAGACAGGGAUGCCGGAAUUCGUGGUGUAGCGGUGAAAUGCUUAGAUAUCACGAAGAACUCCGAUCGCGAAGGCAGGUGUCCGGGCUGCAACUGACGCUGAAGCUCGAAAGUGUGGGUAUCAAACAGGAUUAGAUACCCUGGUAGUCCACACAGUAAACGAUGUAUACUCGCGGUUUGCGAUAGACAGUAAGCCGCCAAGCGAAAGCAUUGAGUAUACCACCUGGGGAGUACGCCGGCAACGGUGAAACUCAAAGGAAUUGACGGGGGCCCGCACAAGCGGAGGAACAUGUGGUUUAAUUCGAUGAUACGCGAGGAACCUUAC